rnacentral:lncRNA from 1 species
CUUUAUAGAAAGAGAAACGGUGAGUAAUAUCUACAUUGCCUGAUGCACUUUGAAUAAUUUAAUUUCUAAUUUUACUAAAAGAAUAUAAUUUCUAAUUGUACGGGUUUUUUUUUUUUCAGAAUGCUUUAAGACUUCUUUGUAAGGAGGAAUGUAAAUAUUAUGACGUUUUGACACCUGGAAUAUUUUGGGGCUCAGACGAUUCAUUGUAAAUGCUGUGCAUCAACUGUAUAAAGCUUCAACUAAAAUAUGCAUUUUGAAUGUAGAUUUUGUUUUGCAGCAUUUUGUGUGUUCCAUAAUUGUUCAGGGUUGGUGGUCUGCUUCGGAUGAUCGAAAUUAUUUCAUGCGGCGUUGUCUGGGAAUCUUCUUUUGUUACAUUUACGACUCUUGGGGAUUCAUCUGGCUGGGAUGAGAUGUUUUUAUUCCCAAUAUAACUUUUGAACAUGGUGAUGACGGAGAUGUAUUAAACAAGAGGGCCAUGAUGGCCUUGCAUCGGUCACCUGACUUAAGUCGCUUGCUUGGACCAAUUUCUUUGCUAAAGUUUCAAAAAAGCUAUACAAGGAGGUCAUGGUAAAGAGUAUUCAAGUUACUCAAGAUAACUACUGAAUUCUGUUAAAAAUUAUACAGGUGAUCCAAAUCUCUUUGCUGUAGCUUCAAAAACAAGAAAGUAGGUCAGUAGGUCAGCGUUAAGAAUAUUAAGCCGGAUAUUCCCAUCUGCAACUGCCACCAUUGCAAGAAUCUAAUAAUCAUUAUUCUCCUUGUUUUGAAUUUUUGACUUAGUAGCCAAAAGGAUUACAGACAAUCCUUAGUAUAGACUACAAAUGUUGGAAGGCUUUACAUUAAUUACAUCAAUUUACUGUCUCGGUUCCAAGUUUCUUGUAUUAGUUAUAGAAAGACCAGUAAUCUGUAUGCCACAUUGAUGAUUACUGAUUUUUUUUACAGGACACGAGAUCGUGAAUAAGUACGUAAUUGAAAAACACUUCUCUUAUUCGUAAAUUCACCUAAAAAAUCUUUUGACGCUUCAAAGAAAUAAAAUAAUUCUUGUGGUAAUGUACACUAUCAGAAUGAUAACAUGUGCUUUAAGCACGUUCGAAGACAGGCUGCUUAUUCAUAGUUGCUAGGUAUUAUUAUAGAUGUUUAUUUUUUCUUUUGAAGUAGGAAACUGAUACAUGUGUGUUCACUCCAUUUUCUCAUAGCUGACAAUUAGACGUUAAUUGUCCAAGAAGCAUGUUGCUUUACGUUCUAUUGACCUUUGCUGUCCUACACACCAUCUCGGCUACUGUCCCGCCAUCUCUUGUAACCCAUUAUUCAUCAAACACACUGCAGCAUUGCUCAGACAGAUUGCCUAACUGUGCAUUAUUCGACAAAAACACAGUCUGUGAGGGUGUAUUUGAACAAUGGGCUAUCGAUAACUGUCAGAAAUACUGUAACAAAUGAAACUGGAUGAUUAUGAUGAAGGGUGUGGCAGGUGUACCGGGUGACCUAUAUAACCUCUGGCAUGGAACUGGAACCAUGAAUACAAAUGUACCAGAAGCCAUGGAUCUAACUAGCACAUACGCAGGACAUUACAAACCAGACCUGUCCAAUUAUUGGAAUGGUCGAUGUAUCGACAAGGUGAAAGUUGCAAUCUUCAACAAUGGAGUAGAGAAAGCAAACAUUAUCUUUGAUGCUAUUGGUUCUGACAAAGAAAGUUGGUUUAAUCCAAACAAAAUUAUUUCAUCCACAUGGACAGACAUCAGAUAUGCACCUAAGAACAUCUUUAGUUUAUUAGGUGACCAGGCUACAGGACACAAAUUCCUUGCCAGUAGUUCCGGUAGUGGCUGUGACUCUCAGGGCUGGAUUAUGGUAUCAACAAAGAAUAAUUGUCCAUUUGAACAAAGAACCCAGAAACCUGCCUUUUACUAUGCUCCAGGACAAUCCAUGACCUCGUGAGGAUCAACUCAGCCUGGUACUGGUGAUGUCUUUGCCAUUUUGGCUCACACCAACUAUACACCAAAUACAUGUUGCUAUGGGGGCAAACAUUACCAUGAGGGAGAACAAUGGAAAGACGGAUGUAAGUACAAGUGUACUUGCAAAGACGGAAAAGGCUCUGUGAAUUACCAAUGUGAA